AUGGCAUCAAGGCCGACGAGGAGUCUGGCAAGGACACCGACCCCGAGUCCACCGACAACCCCGUCGUGCUCGCCAUCAUCCACACAAGUACCGCAAGAUGGAGGAGAGGCUCGUCGGCGUCUCCGAGGAGACCACCACCGGCGUCAAGCAGAUGCAGGAGUCCGACACUCUCCCAUUCCACGCCAUCAACAUCACCAAGAGCAAGGUUGCUUUGGUCUGUACAAGCUGUUGUUGCUGCAUGUGGACAAGGAAGCCCUCAUGGCUGCUGCUGCACUACAGUCUGCUUUUCAUUUUUUGAACAAGAUGUAUUAA
rnacentral:rRNA from 1 species